rnacentral:rRNA from 1 species
GACGAACGCUGGCGGCGUGGAUUAGGCAUGCAAGUCGAACGGUAUCAUCCUUUCGGGGGUGAGAGAGUGGCGAACUGGUGAGUAACACGUAGGUUAUCUACCCUCAAGACGGGGACAACCCAGGGAAACUUGGGCUAAUACCGGAUGUGAGCAACUUUUAGUUGUUUGAAAGGUGGCGUAAGCUGUCGCUUGGGGAUGAGCCUGCGUCCUAUUAGUUAGUUGGUGAGGUAACGGCUCACCUAGGCAAUGAUAGGUAGGCGGCCUUAACGGGUGGUCGCCCACACUGGGAUUGAGAUACGGCCCAGACUCCUACGGGAGGCAGCAGUCGAGAAUAGUCUACAAUGGUCGGAAGACUGAUAGUGCGACGCCGCGUGAACGAUGAAUCCCUUCGGGGUUAAAGUUCUUUUAUAUGUGAGCAGUGCUUCUUAUAUUAACAGUAUGGGGAAGAGAUAUUAGCAUAUGAAUAAGCAACGGCUAAACUCCGUGCCAGCAGCCCGGGUAAUACGG